AGGUAACAUAUGCUCCCCCCCUUUUCAUUCAAAAGGGGGAAUUUACCCGACGGGCCCCUGACGUCUCUUCCCUCUCCUCCGUCCUCUUCUAUCUCUUUCAGGGGAGGGACGCAAUCCAUUAUUAAGCGCAUGGCUUGGCUGUGAGUAGCGUAGUCAGUCGGGAAGGGGGGAGUGGAAUUUACUGUUCUGCAGUAGCAGCAGUCAGCAGCACACAGUAGCAGCCAGCCAGUAGGACAGAAAAUWACUUAACCAACCAACACCUUGGGGCUUGUCUCUUCUGUGGUCUCUUGCUGGCUGCCUGGGUAGACCCACAGGAAGAAAAAGGGAACACCGGCCGGGAAGGAAGGAGUKUGGAACGAAAAAAAGAGAAAGAAGAAGCAGGUGAAGGUGAAAUGAACGUGGAGGAAAAGUUGCUGUCUGUUCAGUUGACGUCCACAUGGAUAUUUUUGUUGUUUCCCUCUCUCCCUCCCCCUCCCGCACUCACCCGGUUGUGCUGUGGCCGGACAUGCUGCUGCAGCAGCAUCAGAGCUCCCGCUCUGCCUGGCUCAUUAGGUGUCACGGUUGCAGCCCCUCUGAUAUCUAAUGACGGACUCGUUAGCUCAAACCCGCACUGACGUGGAGACGGAGACAGCCAAAGACAGAACCAUUCGCUCUUYGUCUUCACACUUUGUCCUCUAUCUACCUGACCGGGAACUCAUCMAUUUUUUUGCAUCCACUUGCUAAAGGAGAUAUCUGAUGGCGAUAGAACAUUUCUGGGUAUUUGAUUACCCUCGUGCCUUUUCAUUCACUAGCCAAGAUAAGACCUAAGACUUCAUUUUUGGAACGGGGUCAUCAUCAUCGUCGUCGUUUUUUCUUUAAAUCGUAGGGGUACGUUUUGAAGACAUGAUAGUCCCGAGGAUGACGGCCGGAUGGUCAGAAUGUGGAUGAUAUCGUCGGUGUGGAUGACGACGAGGUGUCGUAACGAAGCCAUAACGAACGGCGUCGGUUGCCAUGGCGAACAAACGGGACUUGAGUUUUAAACAGAACAGGGGAGGAUGAAAUGGACCGGAUUGACGGUACAAAACUGGCUUGUUCCAUCUGGGAUGCCUACACUCCAGUCCUUGACCCAGUGAACACCUAAUGCUUUGCUAAAGCUGGUAAAAAGGAACCAAAUCACCUCUUGAAUGGAUUUGGUCCCCUUCAACCAGCUGUAGCUAUGCUUUGAUGACUACAUACCGUCCUACCGGAGCUCUUCUCUCUUCAAUGUUCUGACUGACUGGCUAUGAUCAGGUGUAGCCAGAUGCCUCGACUUAGACACGGCGGCUCUCAUCUUCACUAAGUGAUUAUUGAUCAAGUGUCAUGUUUCAUUGCUGAAUCUGUCUGCCUUUCUUCUAUCUUGACUAAUAAAAAGAAGCCAACAGAGAUGCAACAAA